rnacentral:rRNA from 1 species
GCACGGGGGCAACCCUGGUGGCGAGUGGCGAACGGGUGAGUAAUACAUCGGAACGUGUCCUGUAGUGGGGGAUAGCCCGGCGAAAGCCGGAUUAAUACCGCAUACGAUCUACGGAAGAAAGCGGGGGAUCGCAAGACCUCGCGCUAUAGGGGCGGCCGAUGGCAGAUUAGCUAGUUGGUGGGGUAAAGGCCUACCAAGGCGACGAUCUGUAGCUGGUCUGAGAGGACGACCAGCCACACUGGGACUGAGACACGGCCCAGACUCCUACGGGAGGCAGCAGUGGGGAAUUUUGGACAAUGGGGGAAACCCUGAUCCAGCAAUGCCGCGUGUGUGAAGAAGGCCUUCGGGUUGUAAAGCACUUUUGUCCGGAAAGAAAACCUUUGCACUAAUACUGUGAGGGGAUGACGGUAUCGGAAGAAUAAGCACUGGCUAACUACGUGCCAGCAGCCGCGGUAAUACGUAGGGUGCGAGCGUUAAUCGGAAUUACUGGGCGUAAAGCGUGCGC